rnacentral:tRNA from 1 species
GGGUGAUUAGCUCAGCUGGGAGAGCACCUCCCUUACAAGGGAGGGGUCGGCGGUUCGAUCCCGUCAUCACCCACCA